UGUCCUGAUUUGCCAGAUGGGGGAAACUCUUGUGCUCUCUUUUAUUGUUCUUUCCUUAAAAAAACAACUCUGGACGUUUGCACAGGGAAGAUGACCCACAGUCAGGAGAAUAUUGGGUUCUAAAAUCAUCUGUUUCCAUUCCUUCCUGUGUGUGUUUCCCUCCUGUCUCUGAGGCGGUCCUGUGGAUGGGGCAAGAUAGAGAGUGGAUGUUGUUGUUUUCCUGAAGGAGACUUGCUGUAUUCCCUGGCAGGCACGGGCAGGAGAUUCUGCAGGUCAGGCAGAGGUUUUGGACCGAGAAAAAGGCACCACUUCUCUCUGUAGAAGCUGGGUAGAGACAUCAAUCAAGAGCCAUAGACACAAAUGCUAAAGUAAUUUGGGAAUUUUCAGAGGUACUGAUACUGAUGAACUCCUGGAAACUACAUGGUGAUGGGUCAUUAAUGUUCUCAGAAUGAGAAAUACAGUGCUGUGAAAACUCCAAACCGUCAUUUCCUCUUUACAGAGAACUCUUUGAUGAGACAAAGUGGUUCAUCUUCAAGUGGCACUAGUAUCUCCAUCUUCUCUUCAACUUCUCUGUGGAUUUGUCCUCUCCUCAGAAGACUGAAGCCAUGUUGGUUGGGUGUCCAUAGUCUUGUCCCCUGAAAUUCCAAACCUGGAAUGGAUGGAUCUCAAUUCAGUGGGAUUUGGUGUUGUGAAGUUUGUUUCUUACUUUUUUUUUAAAUUUUUUAAAAGAUUAUUUAUUUAUUUAUUUGACAGAGAAA